CAGGGCGACGACGUGGUCGUUGCCAAUAGUACAAGGUCAAAAGAAUAUUUACACGGAUCGGAUUGUCAUGUGAAUUAACAAUUAUAUAGCUAUUAUGAAUCUUUUAUAUGCGAGUUUUCUGUAAUUCAUUUUGUUCUGUAAUAAUAAUAGUCAUAGUAAAAGACGUUUCUAACGUUUUCUGUUUGCUGGGUGUGCUUCAUACAUUCGUUUCAAUGACAAAGCUUUGACGUCACCGAGGGAAUAAUUGGAGUACAUAAAAUUCUAACAAUGGCACAUCGAAAUAAUACACGGAAUUAUACCAAGAAUCAAACAAGCGCCCGUAUGCCGUGAGCGUGUAGUGACAUAGGCCACUUACUAGAUUGCGUCAACCGUCUGUAGUGGUGCGAUUGCAGCAUGCAGUUGGAACUAGAAUAGCGCGUAUUCUGCUCGUGCUUGAGCGAGGCUGCAUUCUGUUGCGGCAUCAGCACCGACACGUUACUCAGCGAUGGUAUGUUCAACUGGUUUCCGUGGCCGUGGUUCGUAUGGCUGCCGUGGUUCGAGUGAUUGCCAUGGCUGGCGUGAUUUAAAUGGCUAGUGUGAUGGCCAACCGCAUGCGACGCAGUCCCGAGUUGCAUUCCAAGCGAUGUUUGUAAACGAUGUGUCAAAUCCAGGGCAUUUUGUUGUCCACCGUGAAUCCCGCAGCCGUGCGUCACAGUGCUCAAUGAACUGUUACCACCUCUCAGAGCGACCAUCUUAAUUUCAUAAUAUAAAUUCUUCAAAAAUUGUAUUAGCCAGAUAUUGAACCAUUCCCAGAACAAUGGAGACACGGUCACCGGCAUGUGGCGAUCUCUACAUUAUAUUCUCAUACUAUUAUAAAUAUAACAUGUAUAUAAUUAUUAUUGCUUCAGGUUGACAUUUCAAAAAGUGCUAUAAAAUGUUUCUUGUGUAUUUCGAGGUGAGGAAAUAAGCACCAUAAAAUAUUAAAAACACUAAACUAUAAUCGUGGUUUUCUCUGACACCCGUAAAUGUAAGGCAUAAUGUUAAAAUACUUCUAAUCCGCAUUCACAAUUUAAAUAGUAAUUUAAUGCAGCAUAGCGAAAAUCGAUAAGGAAACGGCGCGGCACAUGGCUAACCGUUCGCGCUGAAAUUAUUACAACCAAAACACUUUCACGUUUUUAACUCUUAUUAUAACUAACUUGUGCGCACUGAUAUACUACUAUUUACUUAUUAAAAAUUAUAUUUUAUUCGUGAUAUAGACUAAGGAAUGGAAAAUGGCGUGAUCAGUAUAGAGCCCGUUGAACAUCUCAUUUCGUGACAUGCGAAGGGCUGAGAGCGCAUGAAAGAGACAAAGGUAUAUAGUAAUCCGUAGUUUCGAAUUGGGGGCGUUACCGAAAGCAGACUUGCCACCCUCAUGCGAGUCUGUCGUGAAAAUAAUCGAAUGAAAGCUACUGUGAUAUCGAUACACAAUGCAGCAAGCUUUCCUCUAACCAUUGAAAUUAUUGAGUUCUAAAUCAGUUUUUAAUAUGUGUAGCAUCAAAAUUAAAAAAACUCGAACUAUUGUUUAUGACCAAAGUAAAUCUUCUUUUAAACUGACAUCGAAAUGUCGAUUCGAUAACUCGUUACUAGAGACGUGUUCCAACUCUAGCUGGAAAGGCUUAGUUGUUUAUUAUCAUUUAUUAUUUUUAUUGCAACAUAAAUUUAAUACAUUUAACUAUGAAAAAAGCUAUAAUUCUAAAAUCUCCCUAAUGACAUUUGCAUAAAAAGUGUAAGGGUAGUGGUACGAGUACGUACGAGUUUGCCACAAUUAAAGGAAAGCUCUAGAAGCGAAUUGGGACAUUGAUUGACGAUCAAGGAAUAUUUAUAUUGAAUCGGACAACAACACUCAAUAUGAAUUUAUUCAAAUAUAUUGGGCUUAAGCAUGAGCAUCGAAACCAAAAAGAAGGGUCGGCAAGGAUUGGAGCAGAACAAUGGAUGAAAUACGUUAGCCACGUCUUAAAGGAAGAAAAGUU